AUACUUCCCUGGCAGGACAGAUACCAAGAUUAUGCAGGUGGUUAUCUCGAGGUAAGGCUUAUCCAUUGCACUCCAGAUAUGCUGACCCCUGUGAUUUUCCCGAAUAUGGGUUUUUCCCAGUUGGGCUGCAUAAUUUGUGGUUGGGGGGACUGUGUUUGCACUCUCCCUCG